rnacentral:ncRNA from 1 species
AGGUUAAUGAUAAAAUGUUUUCCGCGGUAAAAACAGGCAGAUCGUCAAGACGCCGUGAAUACAUCCUUGUCGGCUCGUUCCGCCCCAUCCCUAGCGCGGGCGCUU